rnacentral:rRNA from 1 species
CAGCCGCGGUAAUACGUAGGGUGCAAGCGUUGUCCGGAAUUAUUGGGCGUAAAGAGCUCGUAGGUGGUCGUUCACGUCGGAUGUGAAAUUCUGAGGCUUAACCUCGGACCUGCAUUCGAUACGGGUUGACUAGAGUGUGGUAGGGGAGACUGGAAUUCCUGGUGUAGCGGUGGAAUGCGCAGAUAUCAGGAGGAACACCGAUGGCGAAGGCAGGUCUCUGGGCCAUUACUGACACUGAGGAGCGAAAGCGUGGGGAGCGAACAGGAUUAGAUACCCUAGUAGUCCCCCC